rnacentral:rRNA from 1 species
UACGGAGGGUGCGAGCGUUGUCCGGAAUCAUUGGGCGUAAAGGGUGCGUAGGCGGCGCGGUAAGUCGGGUGUGAAAUCUCGGAGCUUAACUCCGAAACUGCAUUCGAUACUGCCGUGCUUGAGGACUGGAGAGGAGACUGGAAUUUACGGUGUAGCGGUGAAAUGCGUAGAUAUCGUAAGGAAGACCAGUGGCGAAGGCGGGUCUCUGGGACAGUUCCUGACGCUGAGGCACGAAGCCAGGGGAGCAAACGGG